rnacentral:lncRNA from 1 species
AUAUCUCAGUAUAUUUAUGUCAGUAGUCCCCUUCCUCAGAGUAUUAGGAUACUUAUGUCAGUAUUCCCCUCGUCAGAAUAUCUAGUAUGUUUAUGUUUAUCCCCCUCCACAUAACUCCUUUGUAUAUCUAUUAAAAGGUCCAAUAUGUGCAUUUUCUAUGUUCGUGAUGUUUUCAGUAUGUACACACUUUCAGCAACUAGAGAGACGAAUUACCCAUAGACGAAUUACCCAUAAACGAAUUACCCAAAGACGAUUUACCCAAAGACGCAUUACGAAUAGAUGAAAUAACAUUACAAACCUAUACGAAAUGUAGCAAUUUGUGCUCGGGACGAGCACUUCGGGGAAGUAGUGGAGAAUAUAACCAGAAG